GUUGUUCAGUGAUCCGGGAGGUGGAAGGCUAUUGGUUCAGGGAGCCCGUCAGACCGGACUGGAGUGAGCCAUGAUUGGUCGACACAGGCGCAAUCAGGUAUCAUCUAGUGAACUGUUCAGAUGCAACUGAAUUGAAAAGGAGCUGAACAAAAGAUCCUGAGAGAGACUUCAACAAAAAGUAAAAUGGAUUUUAUCAUACUUGAAAAAUCAACAAUUGCAGUCUGGAUUCAUACAUCACUGUCUGAUGCACCCAACUUGAGUCAAAAAGAUGUUUCAAAUCCCACUAGGCUGGAGGCAAAAAUACUCAAGAGUUUAAGAGCGUCUCUUGACAGUGUACAGAAUAAGAUAGCUUCUCAGCUUUCAGCUUUACUUCACGGUUUUAACUAUCAAAAGAAGCAAGCCAUCUGAAGAUUUGCCUGAGACUGAAGGAUCCACUUCUGCGACGACUCCCUCAGGACUUAUAAUGCAGAUGGAACCAGAUUGAGAAAAACCAGCCAACCAACCAACCAACAUGAUGGCUGAACCAGACAAGAGAAGUCCCGAAGUAAAAUACCCACCAAUUACCAGAAUCUGUGCCUGCCAUACAUCGAAGGUUGGUGAUGCAGCAGCUGAAAUCCACCAUGUCCCUGGAGAUGCUGGUGUGGGCAGGUCGCAAGCCACUGGUAUUGGCUGCAAUGGAUACUGAACUUGACCAAAUCUUUUCAUUCUAAUCCUUCUAAAUGCAUUAUACAAAGAAAUCAACCUAAUAGAAGAA
rnacentral:lncRNA from 1 species